rnacentral:lncRNA from 1 species
UAGGAGAUUGUUUUUCAAGUUCGUGUACGAUAAAUUUAGAUGAUUAAAGAUUAUAUAUUUUUUGAUAUUUGAAGUGUUACAGAAAUAAGUCGUAACCAAUGUGUGCUAGAGCUUUCACCCAAUUUGAUGACAAAUGAUGCUGCAAGAUAAAUAUAUAAAAAACAGACUUGUUUUCUAAAUACAAUAAUUAGGUGGAAAUUUUGAAAAAACAUAAACUUUGAAAGAUCUCUUUCUACUUGUUUUGGUAGUUGUAAUAUGAGUUCAAAUAUUAGGACCAUGCACAGGCUCUUACUGUUCAUAACAACGCUUUACUGUACAAGCUUGACAAAGUGAUCAAAAGAAUGUUAAUAACUAAUGAACAAAAUUUGUAUUAGUGUUCAUCCAAAAUGACAUAAAACUACCUAAGGAUAAAUGACAAGUUGCACAAAAGAAUGCAAAAUAACUCUAAAAAUGUUGAGAAUUUGGAUCCUAAUUGUAGAAUAUCAGUCACGUGUAGUGAACCCUGGCUCCAACUAUUUUCUUGUUCUAAUUAAAGAAAAAA